UACAGAGACUGCAAGCGUUGUUCGGAUUUACUGGGCGUAAAGGGCGCGUAGGCGGUAGCACAAGUCAGUUGUGAAAUCUCCGGGCUUAACUCGGAAAGGUCAACUGAUACUGUGCGACUAGAGUGCAGAAGGGGCAACUGGAAUUCUCGGUGUAGCGGUGAAAUGCGUAGAUAUCGAGAGGAACACCUGCGGCGAAGGCGACUACCUGGCCUGUUCCUUGACGCUGAGGCGCGAAAGCUAGGGGAGCAAACGGG
rnacentral:rRNA from 1 species